UUCCCGACCCGGCGGCCUCCGCAGGACCCAUGGCGGAUUCCUCGCCCGCUCCGUCCCUGCGGGCAGGCGGCCCCCGUGCGCCCCGGUCCUCGGCCCCCUCGCCGCCGCACUCGCGUUCGGGCUCCGAGGCCGAGGAGGCCGAGCUGUCGCUGAGCCUGGCACGCACCAAGACCCGCUCGUACGGUAGCACGGCCAGCGUGCGGGCGCCGCUGGGCGCCGGCGUCAUCGAGCGCCAUGUGGAGCACCGGGUCCGCGCCGGCGACACGCUGCAGGGCAUCGCGCUCAAGUACGGAGUCUCGAUGGAACAAAUUAAAAGGGCAAAUAAACUGUUUACCAAUGAUUGUAUAUUUCUGAAGAAAACUUUGAACAUCCCAGUUAUAUCAGAGAAGCCUUUGCUGUUUAAUGGACUUAACUCAGUAGAUUCUCCAGAAAAUGAAACUGUUGAUAGUUUUUCUCAUGAAGAGGAGCUGGUAGCAGCUGGGGAAGACGUCUCUCCUCCCAGCCCUCAAGAAUUGGAUGUUCAGCCCAUACAGCCUGAGGAAGUAUCAGCCAGAGAUUUCCUGCAGAGGCUGGACUUGCAGAUUAAGUUAUCAACACAGGCAGCCAAGAAACUGAAAGAAGAGAGCAGAGAUGAAGAAAGUCUCUAUACAGCUUCCCUUUAUCACAGUUAGAUGAUCAGGGGGCAUAAUCUAACCUGGUUAAGAGAUGGCUGGAUCAUAAAGAAAACAACAGAUGAUUCAGAAGCAUCCUUUUUGGAUUCUCAUAGCAUACAUCUUUAAAUCGCAAUUAGUUAGUUCCAGCUAUGGCAGUUGCACUGAAGUCACUAGUUUCCUCAGGCUUUCUCUGAUUUUCAGUCUUUAUUAUGGCAUGAUUGCAAAACUGGGUCUUAAUGCUCAUCACUUUUGCCGGUGGUGGUAGUUUUUAGCUUUUUAGUUUCUAGCUUUUGUAAACACUAGCUGACAUAAAGCCUCAAACACUAUUUACAUAUUCAAGCUGAAAUAAUGUUUAUCUCCUGAGAAAUCUUAAUUAUGUGAAAAACAUGGUUGCUGUUUAAGUGAUGCUGAUUUUGCUAUGUGUUUAUAACUUAAGUGCUAUAUAUAUAUAUUUCGAUAUGUAUGACUAUAAAGCAAAUUUUGUCUGCUAUUUUGUAAAAAUAAACUACAGAAGUCUGAAUGAGAAAAUAAACUAUGUUUUCAUAAUUGAGUCUUCAGUUUUUUUCAACAAAUGGGACUAUUAGAUAGAUUUUUAAAUUACAGUUUUAAAUGGUGACAGCUUCUCUACUUUAAUGAUCUUUAUUGUUAUAAUCACAAUUUUGGAAAAGGUUUCAAAAAUCUAAAAGCAAAUAAAUUGCAAUUACCAGUAACUUUUGCAUCUCAAUAAUACCUGACUUGUGUUUCAGAUAUAGUGAAAACAUGGAAUAUAUCAAAGAAGAAGUAAACAACGCCAAGACUAGACCCACUGGUCUUCCACGAAAAUGAAAACAAGUACCCUCCGGGGUUAAUGAAACAGAAUGUGCAAUACCAGAAUUGCACAGAUUCACCCCUUAAGGCUGACCAACAGUGGCUGCCUUAAGGGUGACCAACAGAGUAUAUUGUCACCCUGCUUAUUUAACGUAAGAGUACAUCAUGAGAAAUGCUGCACUGGAUGAAGCACAAGCUGGAAUCAAGAUUGCCGGGAGAAUUAUCAAUAACCUCAGAUAUGCAGAUGACACAACCCUUAUGGCAGAAAGUGAAGGAGAACUAAAGAGCCUCCUGAUGAAAGUGAAAGAGGAGAGUGAAAAAGUUGGCUUAAAGCUUAACAUUCAGAAAACGAAGAUCAUGGCAUCUGGUCCCAUCACCUCAUGGGAAAUAGAUGGGGAGACAGUGGAAACAGUGACAGAUUUUAUUUUGGGUGGCUCAAAACUCACUGCAGAUGGUGACUGCAGCAUGAAAUUAAAAGACGCUUGCUCCUUGGAAGAAAAGCUAUAACCAACCUAGACAGCAUAUUAAAAAGCGGAGACAUUACUUUGCCAACAAAGGUCUGUCUAGUCAAAGCUAUGGUUUUUCCAGUAGUCAUGUAUGGAUCUGAGUUGGACUAUAAAGAAAGCUGAGCACCUAAGAAUUGAUGCUUUUGAACUGUGGUGUUGGAGAAGAUUCUUGAGAGUCCCUUGGACUGCAAGGAGAUCCGACUAGUCCAUCCUAAAGGAGAUCAGUCCUAAAUAUUCAUUGGAAGGACUCAUGCUGAAACUGAAACGCCAAUACUUUGGCCACCUGAUGUGAAGAACUGACUCAUUUGAAAAGCUCCUGAUGCUGGGAAAGAUUGAAGGUGGGAGGAGAAGGGGACGACAGAGGAUGAGGUUGUUGGAUGGCAUCGUUGACUCAAUGGACAUGAAUUUGAGCAAGCUCGGGGAGUUGGUGAUGGACAGGGAAGCCUGGCAUGCUGCCAUCCAGGGGUUGCAAAGAGUCAGACACGACUGAGCAACUGAACUGAACAGGGGCAUGAAUGGAAAGCAGCUGUUUGCCCUUGUCUUAAAUUUCUCACUUGUUCAUAAUGUACAUAAUCCCUUGUGUUUUGGGUUUUUUCCCCUAAUUUUUUCUCAUGCUUUUUCUCAUGAUAACUGCUCAUUUUUUCCCUUACAUUAUUAUUAUUUUUGCUAUAUGGUUAUCUCUUGAUCAUGCUUUGCUAUUUUCAUGUAGCCACUACUACCUACAUUAUGGGGAGGGAGUUGAGAAAGCAGAAAGUAAAAGAAAAAAAAUUUUUUUGAAGGGAAACAGUCAUGUAUAUAAGGAAAGGUCAAGGCCUCUUUUAAAAAAAAAGUCCAGGAAUUAUUUUUAAUGUAAAGAUUUUUUAUGAUAAAAUAAUAUGAAGUUUGAGAGUAAUCCAAAAAAUGCAAAUCCAAAAAUACUAUCCAGAAGACAAAUUGGAAAUGAAGGGCACAAUCUCAGGAACAUUUUUCUGAGUUAUUUUAUUUUUGCCUAAGGUCUCUCUUAGCAAUUUCUAGCCAAAACAUCUCUUCCCUCACCUUCAAGAUACUGAAAACUGAAUUCACCGAGGCCACGGUCAAACUGUGCUGGACUAGAGUCCUUUAGUCACUUGCACACAGAAGCACUGUGAGGAGGAACCGAGACAAGAAUCUGGGUUCUAAUCCCGGCUUUAUCAUUUCUUGGCCAUCAGAGUUUGAGUAUGUCCAGUGCCCUUGGUGUGAACCAGCUUCCUCAUGUAUAAAACAGGACUGACAAUCUCCUUCUGUCUUGUUUAUCAAUAGGAACUAAUGAAUGUCAGUGUGCUCUGAAAGCUAUAAUGAACUCCCCUAGUAAAUACCUUAUUUUUAAAAUACUGCAUAGAUAUUUAGAUAAACUAUUAGACAAGUGAACAGAGAAAAUGCUUGGGUCACCAUCAGUUAAUUCUAAUGUAGAAGCAGCAUUUUUGAACUACAGGCCAUGGUGAAAUCGAGUCAUUUAUCAAAGAUGAGUCAUUCAAAUGGUCUGACUCAUUGUGCUUUGGCAAGUAUAGUUCAGGCAAAGAUGUUUUAGUUCCUUCUCACUAUUCACCAGUGGGCACUGGCUUUUCUAAAACAUUAUGAGUUUUGUUUCUCUGUGUGUCAGGCUGUGAUUUUUGUUUUUGCAACUCUAGAGAAGGUGGGGAGAAGCAGCAGUGGUCUCCUCCCUGUGAAAACACCAUUUGUAGCUUCUCUGUGUGUCCCCCAUUCCUCACCAAAAACUGAGGUAGAGGUGUUCAAGACAGGUAGCAGAAGCCAUCUGAAGUAAGAUAGUCGGUAUACAAAACAUUAUGUUAUUUUUAUGACAUUUUAUAUUUUAUAUUUCAACUGAAAUAUAUAGAAAAUAUAUAAUUAAUUUAUACUGAAUAAUAUAUUUUCAAAGCAUUCUUUGGUUUGUUAAUUCAAAGCAUUAACACCAGGAGGAAGCAUCACUGUGUGUUGUUUCUUGACUGUGUCUGUGGUGGUGGUUGAGGAAGAGGGGUUGCAAGGAUCUAACAUUCAUUAACCUUGUCCUCCAGGGAAGCUCAUCUACAAACUUCGGUUCACGGGGAAGGGAAUGAUUUAAAAAUUUUUAUUUUAUAUUGGAGUGUAGCUGAUUAACAUUAUAAAAUGUUGUCAUAGUUUCAGGUGGACAGCAAAGGGGCUCAGCCAUACAUACACAUGUGUCCAUGGUCCCCCAAAGGAAGGGAAUGAUUUUUAUCUUUAUAUUUACUCUUCCAAGCUUCCCAGGUGGUGCUAGUGGUAAAGAAUCAGCCUGCCAAUGCAGGAGAUGCAAGAGACGUGGGUUCAAUCCCUGGGUCAGGAAGAUUCCCUGAAGGAGGAAAUAGCAACCCAUUCCAGUAUUCUUAUCUGGAAAACUCUAUGGACAGAAGAGUCUGGCAGGAUACAGUCCAUGGGUUUGCUAAGAGUCAAGCACACACACAUCUAUCUGCCUUACUCCCUAGUUCUCUUGCUCUCUGUUGAGAAACCUUGGCUUGGAUCAAAUUCAGUUUGGAUAACUUGAGUCUGGCAUCAAUUUUUACCUUGCUUUAUGUAGUAUUUUCUGACCUCAUUUGUCUUCUUGGAGAGUACAUAGUUCGGUAUCCCUCUUAAGAGAAAAACUCAAUUUCUGAAAUCCCACUAAUAGGAAAUGUUGAGAGUGGGGAG